rnacentral:rRNA from 1 species
AGAUUAAGCCAUGCAUGUCUAAGUAUAAGCAAUUAUACAGCGAAACUGCGAAUGGCUCAUUAUAUAAGUUAUCGUUUAUUUGAUAGCACCUUACUACUUGGAUAACCGUGGUAAUUCUAGAGCUAAUACAUGCUAAAAAUCCCGACUCCGGAAGGGAUGUAUUUAUUAGAUUAAAAACCAAUGCCCUCUGGGCUCUUUGGUGAUUCAUGAUAACUUUGCGGAUCGCACGGCCUUGCGCCGGCGAUGGUUCAUUCAAAUUUCUUCCCUAUCAACUUUCGAUGUUUGGGUAGUGGCCAAACAUGGUGGCAACGGGUAACGGAGGGUUAGGGCUCGGCCCCGGAGAAGGAGCCUGAGAAACGGCUACUACAUCCAAGGAAGGCAGCAGGCGCGCAAAUUACCCAAUCCCGACACGGGGAGGUAGUGACAAUAAAUACUGAUACAGGGCUCUUUUGGGUCUUGUAAUUGGAAUGAGUACAAUUUAAAUCCCUUAACGAGGAACAAUUGGAGGGCAAGUCUGGUGAACGUCGCUGGUGCCAGAGAGAGCCGCCCUCGGUAAACAAGCGGCUAGUCGAGUGCUCGUUGCGUGACGGGUGAGCGCCGGCGAGACAACCUGGAUCGGGGAAGGCUAAGGGGCCCCGGGGGCCUACGCUGAUCCCGAGCAGAGCCAGCCCACUGGCCUGUGUAGAGCGCGCCAAGGUGUCGGUCCCGAGGUCCUCCUCGGGGCUUAAGGUACGUGCCAACCCCCUGCGAAAGCAGGGCCCUGCGGAGCAGCACCCGUCGUGCGAAGCCGCAGGGAGCCCCCGCCCCUCCCCCGAGGGGCGUGCGCUGUAACAUGCGCUGUAACAUGGCCAGCAGCCGCGGUAAUUCCAGCUCCAAUAGCGUAUAUUAAAGUUGUUGUGGUUAAAAAGCUCGUAGUUGAACCUUGGGCCUGGCUGGCCGGUCCGCCUCACCGCGUGCACUGGUCCGGCCGGGCCUUUCCCUCUGUGGAACCCCAUGCCCUUCACUGGGUGUGGCGGGGAAACAGGACUUUUACUUUGAAAAAAUUAGAGUGCUCCAGGCAGGCCUAUGCUCGAAUACAUUAGCAUGGAAUAAUGAAAUAGGACGUGCGGUUCUAUUUUGUUGGUUUCUAGGACCGCCGUAAUGAUUAAUAGGGACAGUCGGGGGCAUCAGUAUUCAAUUGUCAGAGGUGAAAUUCUUGGAUUUAUUGAAGACUAACUACUGCGAAAGCAUUUGCCAAGGAUGUUUUCAUUAAUCAGGAACGAAAGUUAGGGGAUCGAAGACGAUCAGAUACCGUCGUAGUCUUAACCAUAAACUAUGCCGACUAGGGAUCGGACGAUGUUAUAUUUUGACGCGUUCGGCACCUUACGAGAAAUCAAAGUGCUUGGGCUCCAGGGGGAGUAUGGUCGCAAGGCUGAAA